UACGUAGGGUGCAAGCGUUGUCCGGAAUUAUUGGGCGUAAAGAGCUCGUAGGCGGUUUGUCGCGUCUGCUGUGAAAUCCCGAGGCUCAACCUCGGGCCUGCAGUGGGUACGGGCAGACUAGAGUGCGGUAGGGGAGAUUGGAAUUCCUGGUGUAGCGGUGGAAUGCGCAGAUAUCAGGAGGAACACCGAUGGACGAAGGCAGAGUCUCUGGAC
rnacentral:rRNA from 1 species